rnacentral:rRNA from 1 species
AACGAACGCUGGCGGCAUGCCUAACACAUGCAAGUCGAACGAGACCUUCGGGUCUAGUGGCGCACGGGUGCGUAACGCGUGGGAACCUGCCCUUAGGUUCGGAAUAACUCCCCGAAAGGGGUGCUAAUACCGGAUAAUGUCUUCGGACCAAAGAUUUAUCGCCUUUGGAUGGGCCCGCGUUGGAUUAGCUAGUUGGUAGGGUAAAAGCCUACCAAGGCGACGAUCCAUAGCUGGUCUGAGAGGAUGAUCAGCCACACUGGGACUGAGACACGGCCCAGACUCCUACGGGAGGCAGGAGUGGGGAAUAUUGGACAAUGGGCGAAAGCCUGAUCCAGCCAUGCCGCGUGAGUGAUGAAGGGCUUAGGGUUGUAAAGCUCUUUUACCCGGGAUGAUAAUGACAGUACCGGGAGAAUAAGCUCCGGCUAACUCCGUG